AUGGUACUGUCACCCUACACAAUAAUGCAAGUGAGCAAAGCAGACCACCCUCCCUGGUGCCUUGUUUCACCUAGGGCUGAUGUCGGUCACCGUCUGGGGCACGACGGUGCUGAACAUGUCGGAAUCAUCCGCCGUGGUCGAGUUCUUGAACCUCGAGUCGCUGGAGGCCGUCGCCUUGGAGACACCGCUAUUGUACUCACUGAUGUACCCUGGCGCGGUCAGCUCUCUCUCGUUGAUCCGGAUUGGCUUGGACAGCAUCUUCACCACCUGCAGCAUCGAAGGGCGGCGCGCCGCCGCCGCCUGCGUGCAGAAGAGGGCCACCUUGAUGAACCUGAUGGCCUCCUCAUCAGGGUAAUCCCCAAGGUCUGGAUCAACCAGUUCCUUGAGCUUCCCUGCUUCAUACAGCUCCCAAGUCUGUUGUCAAUGUUCAGGGUUAGACUAAUCUUUUUACUGGCAUAA
rnacentral:rRNA from 1 species